AGACUUAAUUUAACUAAUAAGAAUCAGCACACUGGCUUCCCUUGACAAUUGUAACCUCUGAAAGUGAUCAAUUAAGACAUCACAAUCUGUUUCAUGACAACAUAUCGGGAUGCCGCAGCUGUGCAGAUUAUGAGGUCAGCAGCUAACAACUUGAGGGCAAACAUUGGCAACAAGAGCCUCUUGUUUAUGUAACAAAUAUGUAAUUGGGCAGAAUGCUAGGAAUGUAAUGGCUUGGGGGGAUAGAUGGUGAUCUUUAAACUGUCCCUUCUUUUAUAUAUUGUCACCAUAGCCAGAGUCGUAAAAGCCUUCCACAUACGUAUCCUGCUUGGCCACUGUCCUGCCUAGCUGCCUGACCUCCUAAAUGAGGUAGCAGGAGAUGUGGCUGCACAUGGUGACCACUGUAUUUGCCACUUGGCUGCAGGGACCAUUUUACAGUAUGCUGGCAGAGCAGGGCUGGAUGAAUGAAACAUUCCUAAUCAUAAUCAGAAGCUGCAGGUAACACCAAGAGCUUGCUAAGGCCCAAGGGACUCAUUUAUACCUUUGAAGACACUUCAAACUACGGAAUGAUUAAGCAAGCUGUUUUCAUCUACAUCAAGUCACUUUCAGCAGACCUCUAACUGUGAGCAAAGAAUUGUGAAGACUGUUCUAGAGAGAAAUCAACACAGUUCAACCAAGCCAGCUUGUAAAUGCACUUCUUUGCCCCUCUAUGAACCAGCAUCUUUCAGUUAAUGCAGCUUUCAAAAGUAGUGUAUAUAAAUCACAUAUUAUGAGUAACAGCACAUAAAAAGACAGAUUUGAUAACCCA